rfam:Triticum aestivum genome assembly, contig: Triticum_aestivum_CS42_TGACv1_scaffold_616155_7DL
CCACUAAUCCCUCUGUCCCAAAUUUCUUGUCUUAGAUUUGUCUAGAUACGGAUGUAUCUAAUACUAAAAUGUGACUUGAUACAUCCGUAUCUAGACAAAUCUAAGACAAGAAUUUUGGGACGGAGGGAGUACUUU